rnacentral:rRNA from 1 species
CCUACGGGAGGCAGCAGUGAGGAAUAUUGGUCAAUGGCCGGAAGGCUGAACCAGCCAAGCCGCGUGAAGGACGAAAGUGCCAAGCAUUGUAAACUUCUUUUGUCAAGGGACAAAAUCAGGCACGAGAGCCUGACAGAGGGUACUUGAAGAAAAAGCAUCGGCUAACUACGUGCCAGCAGCCGCGGUAAUACGGAGGAUGCGAGAGUUAUCCGGAUUUAUUGGGUUUAAAGGGUGCGUAGGCGGACUGUUAAGUCAGCGGUAAAAGCACAGGGCUCAACCCCGGCGAGCCGUUGAAACUGGCUGUAUUGAGAUGUCGAGAGGUAUGCGGAAUGCGCAGUGGAGCGGUGAAAUGCUUAGAUAUUGCGCAGAACUCCGAUUGCGAAGGCAGCAUACCGGCGGCGAUCUGACGCUGAGGCACGAAAGCGUGGGUAUCGAACAGGAUUAGAUACCCCAGUAGUC